UCUAGUUUCCUUUUAUUUUUCCUUGCAGAAAUGCAUUUUAAAGUUCAUUAAGAGCCAGUCCCCACAGAUGGUUGCCACCAACAGGAGUGUUGUCUACAACGAGUAAUCCCUUCCACCAACUCAGUAGGGACAACUCCAGUAGCAAGCAAGCACAGCACGAUGCUCUGGGUAACCCAAAGAUGUCUGCAGUGCUGGGAACCCAGCUGUAUGAACAUGGAUGCUGUACAUAGAUUAUAAGGCCAGAAGGGACGACGGUGAUCAUCUAGUCUGACCUCCUGCAUAAAACAGGCCAUAGGAUUUUCCUCACUUUAAUGCCUGUUGGAACUAGAGCAUGUCUUUUAGAGAAACAUCCAACCUUGAUUUAACAAUUGCCAGUGAUGGAGAAUCCAACACAAUCUUUGAUUGCCUUGUCUGGCUGCUGUCUUGGAUGCCUGAGAACUUCACUAUACCUAUCCUGCUGGUCUGAAUGCACACUGGAAUGCAGUAACACUGGACUGAGUUGAAGAGCACAUUCCUUAAUGGCUCAGACAACCCAGCUGCGGCUGCCAACAUGUUUUCUGUGAAAUGAAGAGGAACAGGGCCUCAUUUCUAGUGCAUAUACCCAGCACAGCUACGUUAAUGACUCAGCCAAAUUACUUUGGAUCCAUACAGGGACAACGACUCUGUAGAGUGCAUGAUCCAGGAAGUAUCUUCAGAACAAAUAAUUAAUUGAACAGCCUGUGAGCUAUUACAUUGCACUGAGAGACACUUUGAAAAGUGCCCUGUUAAUGAGCACCCAUACAGCUAUGACACAUUAUAGUGCCCUGCUGAAAGUCUUGACCCACUGCUGCCUCUGCUAUGGGCCAUUGGGAGCUGCGUAUCUACUGAGAAGAAUGUUGUCCUUUAUCAAGAGUCUUCUUGUGGCUGAGGGUGAUGUUACAGCUGCAGUAACUUCUAAGAUUUACACGAGUCCAACCUACAACAUAAAGAUCUGGAGUCAAAAUUUCCCAUAGUGUUUGGAUCUAGGGGUUAACUUAGCCCAGUAAAGAAAUAAGGACAGCCACAACAUUCAGCCCCAAUUCUAUUGAAAUGAUCAGUUCAGAUUCAUUUUAAUCUAAGGAAAAGGUUUGUGUCUAUUCUUAUUUUAUGCAAAUCGACUCACCCAAUCCUAUUUUUCAAUA